rnacentral:pre_miRNA from 1 species
AGGAACAACAACAGUAGCAGCGGCCAGCUCUGGAACCCGGGAUUCAGCUCCUGCAGUAACUACGGACCUCUUGGUCUGCAGGGUCCUGGAUGCUCCGGGGGCGG